GACGAACGCUGGCGGCGUGCCUAAUACAUGCAAGUCGAGCGGACGGAUGGGAGCUUGCUCCCAGACCGUCAGCGGCGGACGGGUGAGUAACACGUGGGCAACCUGCCUGUAAGACUGGGAUAACUCCGGGAAACCGGGGCUAAUACCGGAUAACUCUUUCCCUCACAUGAGGGAAAGCUGAAAGAUGGCAUCUCGCUAUCACUUACAGAUGGGCCCGCGGCGCAUUAGCUAGUUGGUGAGGUAACGGCUCACCAAGGCGACGAUGCGUAGCCGACCUGAGAGGGGGAUCGGCCACACUGGGACUGAGACACGGCCCAGACUCCUACGGAGGCAGCAGUAGGGAAUCUUCCACAAAGGACGAAAGUCUGACGGAGCAACGCCGCGUGAGUGAUGAAGGUUUUCGGAUCGUAAAACUCUGUUGUCAGGGAAGAACAAGUACCGGAGUAACUGCCGGUACCUUGACGGUACCUGACCAGAAAGCCACGGCUAACUACGUG
rnacentral:rRNA from 1 species